AUUGAACGCUGCGGCAUGCCUUACACAUGCAAGUCGAACGGCAGCACGGGUGCUUGCACCUGGUGGCGAGUGGCGAACGGGUGAGUAAUACAUCGGAACGUACCUUAUCGUGGGGGAUAACGCAGCGAAAGCUGUGCUAAUACCGCAUACGCCCUGAGGGGGAAAGCGGGGGAUCGAAAGACCUCGCGCGAUUAGAGCGGCCGAUGCCUGAUUAGCUUGGUGGUGGGGUAAAAGCCCACCAAGGCGACGAUCAGUAGCUGGUCUGAGAGGACGAUCAGCCACACUGGGACUGAGACACGGCCCAGACUCCUACGGGAGGCAGCAGUGGGGAAUUUUGGACAAUGGGGGCAACCCUGAUCCAGCAAUGCCGCGUGAGUGAAGAAGGCCUUCGGGUUGUAAAGCUCUUUUGUCAGGGAAGAAACACCGGCUCUAACACAGUCCGGGAAUGACGGUACCUGAAGAAUAAGCACCGGCUAACUACGUGCCAGCAGCCGCUGUAA
rnacentral:rRNA from 1 species